AAGGCUUCUGCCAGACCUGUUCCUGUGGGAGUGGAAUCAUUGUGGGACCUGAUGAUUCAACAGUUGCCUCACAUGAGAGAAACCACAUCGGCUUGUACUGAAUACUACAUGCAAAAAGAACGCUGAAGCAUGAAACAUCAGAAGGCAAUAUCAUGUGCCAGUGCUGUACCAAGCCAUAGCGAAGCCUAAGGCAGAAGGAGAAGUCAGUAAUGCUGAUACUGUCUUUAUUUAAAAUUUUGAUAUUUUGAUAUUUUAUUAAUUAUAAAUGUUUUGGCAUUAAUUUUGAUUUUUAAAAAUAUCACACUAAAAUAUUAUUUAUCUUGACUACUAAUUUUUUUAACACCCCCAUAAAGUUUGUGCCUAGAACUAGUACCUCACCUUAGUUUUGACCUUGUCGUUAGAAAAGAGGUAAUCUACUUAACAGCCAAGAAAAGAAGAAAACUUGAAAAGGCUGAGUUAAUGUCACUGCAUAUUGAGCAAAAAUUUAAAAAAAUGACAAGUUGGGUUUUCAUGAAUUGGAAAUCAAAGCUAAUCGAGUGUGGAUGUUUCGCUGAUUCUUGAAGCUACAGUGAGCAGAGAAAAUGCUUUGAGCUCUUUCUCGAAAGGCUCGUCUGUGUCUUAACUUAAAAUCAUCUUAGAAAAGAUUUUGUCACUAUCUGACUUUAUAAGGCCCAUCCUUCACUGGGAAGACACCAUCCCAAUAAAAUUCAUACACAGAAAUGAUGAUGAUGACACUGAUAGUACCUACUAUUUAUUGAAUGCUACCACUGACAUGUUAUCUACUCAAUGCUUGUUAUGAGCCAGCUGCAUGUACAUAGAUUCAGAGAUGGUGAAAACUGGAAAGGACUUCACAGGUCUUCUAAUCUAGGGCACCCUCAGUUAACAGAUCAUCAUUGUGAGAUCACUCAACCGGUUACUGCUGCCAGCUCUGCUCUCCAUUAAGUGUCCUUGUUGAGUUUGCCUCCAGUGACAGCUGGAGCAAGAACACAGUCAUCUGGGGCCACAUCUCACUGACACUGGCUCAGUGACCAGUAAGUACUUUUGACCCUUCUACCACCACCACUUGCUUCGUGAAUGUACAGUGUUAGAGACAUGAAAUCCCAUGUCUCUGUAUGACAAAGAUCUCAUGUUUCUACAUCCACAAAAGUACAAUAUAUAGGGGGCUGGCCCCGUGGCUGAGUGGUUAAAGUUCCACAUGUUCCGCGUUGGAGGCCUGGGGAUCACAGGUUUGGAUCCCAGGUGCAGACCUAGCA
rnacentral:lncRNA from 1 species